rnacentral:rRNA from 1 species
CUGGCUCAGGAUGAACGCUAGCGACAGGCUUAACACAUGCAAGUCGAGGGCAGCAUAAAAGUAGCAAUACUUGGUGGCGACCGGCGCACGGGUGAGUAACGCGUAUGCAACCUACCUAUCAGAGGGGAAUAACCCGGCGAAAGUCGGACUAAUACCGCAUAAAACAGGGGCACCGCAUGGUGAUAUUUGUUAAAGAAAUUCGCUGAUAGAUGGGCAUGCGUUCCAUUAGGUAGUUGGUGAGGUAACGGCUCACCAAGCCGACGAUGGAUAGGGGAACUGAGAGGUUGGUCCCCCACACUGGUACUGAGACACGGACCAGACUCCUACGGGAGGCAGCAGUGAGGAAUAUUGGUCAAUGGGCGGGAGCCUGAACCAGCCAAGUCGCGUGAAAGGAAGAAGGAUCUAUGGUUCGUAAACUUCUUUUGCAGGGGAAUAAAGUGCAGGACGUGUCCUGUUUUGUAUGUACCCUGAGAAUAAGGAUCGGCUAACUCCGUGCCAGCAGCGGC